AGUGAACGCUGGCGGUAGGCCUAACACAUGCCAGUCGAACGGCAGCACAGUAAGAGCUUGCUCUUACGGGUAGCGAGUGGCGGACGGGUGAGGCAUACAUCGGAAUCUACUUUUUCGUGGGGGAUAACGUAGGGAAACUUACGCUAAUACCGCAUACGACCUACGGGUGAAAGCAGGGGAUCUUCGGACCUUGCGCGAUUGAAUGAGCCGAUGUCGGAUUAGCUAGUUGGCGGGGUAAAGGCCCACCAAGGCGACGAUCCGUAGCUGGUCUGAGAGGAUGAUCAGCCACACUGGAACUGAGACACGGUCCAGACUCCUACGGGAGGCAGCAGUGGGGAAUAUUGGACAAUGGGCGCAAGCCUGAUCCAGCCAUACCGCGUGGGUGAAGAAGGCCUUCGGGUUGUAAAGCCCUUUUGUUGGGAAAGAAAAGCAGCAGGUUAAUACCCCGCUGUUCUGACGGUACCCAAAGAAUAAGCACCGGCUAACUUCGUG
rnacentral:rRNA from 1 species